CUCAGCUGGGCUUUUUUUAAGUAACAAGUGACUGGGCCACUGACAUGUAAAGAGGGAAGUGAGGUGCUCCUGGAG
rfam:Pan troglodytes isolate Yerkes chimp pedigree #C0471 (Clint) chromosome 1, whole genome shotgun sequence.